UACAGGGAGACCAACUUCAGUAACCAGUAGAGAGUGACCGGUGCCGAUUGUAUCGGCAAAGGCACUAACACCAAGCUGGAAACUGAGGACAUCCCGAGGUCGGACGACACUGACAAAACAGCUCGAGUGCAGCAACGCUUUCAAACUAGAACUGGUUCGGUAGGAGCGGUACCACCAGUAGGGGCUAUUAGCUCAGGUGGUUAGAGCGCACCCCUGAUAAGGGUGAGGUCCCUGGUUCGAGUCCAGGAUGGCCCACCUCAAAGAACUGAGAAUUUCCAGUUCGAGAUUCAAAAAAGUUGAAACAAGCAAUUGGUCAAGUCAAAUCCAGUGGGAUGUGAUAGACUAGUCAAGUUGAGUAAAAUUCAGCACUGUCUGCGAGUGGAGACAACUGCUGGAAAUUCUCCAGCGAGCACCUUGAAAACUGUAUAGAGAUAAGAGAAAUAGUCAGGUAGAAAACCAAGUAUUUGCGAAAUAACU
rnacentral:tRNA from 1 species